GCCGAUGUGGUGGAAUUGGUAGACACGCUAUCUUGAGGGGGUAGUGCCUUAACGGCGUGCCGGUUCGACUCCGGCCAUCGGCACCA
rnacentral:tRNA from 1 species